rnacentral:rRNA from 1 species
GUUAGGAAUAUUGGACAAUGGGCGCAAGCCUGAUCCAGCCAUGCCACGUGAGUGAUGAAGGCCUUCGGGUUGUAAAGCUCUUUAGCCGAUGAUUAUAAUGACUGUAGUCGGAAAAUAAGCCCCGGCUAACUUCGUGCCAGCAGCCGCGGUAAUACGAAGGGGGCGAGCGUUAUUCGGAAUCACUGGGCGUAAAGCGUGCGUAGGCGGUUUUGUAAGUUAGGAGUGAAAGCCCAGGGCUCAACCCUGGAAUUGCUCUUAAAACUACAAGGCUAGAAUGUCGGAGAGGAUAGCGGAAUUUCCAGUGUAGCAGUGAAAUGCGUAGAUAUUGGAAGGAACACCAGUGGCGUAAGCGGCUAUCUGGACGACUAUUGACGCUGAGGCACGAAAGCGUGGGGAUCAAACAGGAUUAGAAACCCUGGUAGCC